UUCUGUGGGCGGGCUUCUCUGUUCCUAGCUCUCCUUGCUCCGCGUGGGACUUUCACCUCCGCGUCCCCUCCGGUGGUCCCUCUACGGCUCCUUGGUUCCCGGCGCACCCACACCCGGUCGUCCGAGUUCGCGAAGGCUUCCUCCCCACCAGCGGGUUUCAGCUUCAUCCUCCUUGCCCCGUGGUCACCUGUCUCCGGUUUUGAGGCAGCACAGGGACGUGCACCGCCUGAGCGCAGUGCCCAAGGGCUUGGGCUGGGCCCUGGUGCACGGGCCACGGGGCCUCACCCAGCCUGAGACCCCCGGGAGAAGGAGACUCACCCUGGUGUUGCCUGCAGUGAGAACUGUGUGUGGGCAAGUGUCUGGUGGCUGGAACAGAUGCCAUGUUUGGGGAAUUCCAGUGACUGUAUGUGCCUGGGGAGGGAGAGGAAGGGUAGCCGUGAAAUAUGCGACCAGAGGGACUGGGAGUGGAGGGUAUCAAGGACAGGAAACUUGGAGCUGCAGAGGGGCAGUGUACCAGGCGGCGAGGCAGAGGGGUCAGCUGUGACAGGUCAGCACUGUUUCCCUCCGCGGCCCCAUUCUCCUCUAGCUACCACUGGGCUUGCUGGCUGAUCAAGACUGCUCCAGGGCAGCCCAGGAAAAAGCUCCCAAAGCAAGCAGAACUUCCUUGCCUGUCCAGACCAGGAAAUACCAGAGUGGGUUCCAUGAUAGGGUGUGGCUGAGGGGCCACGCCUUGGAGAGGGCGGGGAAGGCCUCAGGGACCCUUGCCUAAGAAGGACCCAGUGUAGACAGCCACCGAGAAUGCAGGGAAGAGAGCAGGUCUGGCUGCUGGUUAGAUGGCCACGGGGACAGAGCUGACUCACCUGAACACGCCAAGACUAGCUAGUUCUGUCCACAUCCUGACCCAUGAUGAGCAUCAAGGUUGCCUGGGAAUAUAGGAGGCUGGGCCCUGUUAGGAAUUUGCUAUGUGGGGGUGGGUGGAGGGGUGGUGAGUCUCCCAGCCUUUCUGAACCACCUAGCUCAGGUAAGCCUGGUGGGACUGGGGAGCCAGAGGCCUGGGUCUGAGCCCUGUACAUCUCUACAGAUAGUGUCUCUGUAUCCUCCAUUUCUUCCUGGGCCUCAGUUUUUCCAUAUGUACAUCAUGUACAGUCUACUACUAAGAAACCUUAGAAUUGGAUGGAGGGAGAGGGUAAGGAAGCCAUGCAUGCCCUUGACCAGAAAGGGUGGGUUGGGGGAGGUACUAGAGUUUGAGAGGGUUGUAUUCUUACUGGGUGCUUCCUGUUAGGAUUCAGCAUCCCCGCCCCCACCCCAACUCCCAUGCAUGCUCAUGUCUGGCCUGGCCCUGCCCUCACACACUCUUCAUCACUUCCAGGAUGAAGCUCAGAUUCCCUAGCCUGGGAGCAGAGGCCACCAGAGCAGACUCCCAGCUUCAACUGCAGCCCUUUCUCCCACUCACCUCACCAGACAUCUUAACUUCUAGCCUUCCUGCCAGGCAGUGUGACUCAGUUUCCUAGGGCUAGAGAUCCCUUUGGGGCCACAAACCUGGAAGGGUCCUAGAGUAGUGUCUGCCAAUCUGGGACUGUAUGAUGCAUCCUGAGGGGCCCCAGACUGCUUUGAGAGGUAAGGGAGGCUGAGGGCCAGGUCCCCAUACUCAGAGCAGCUCCCCUCCACCUGGUUAUCCUUUUCAGGGAGGACCAAAAUAGUUUGAAAAGCUCUGAUUUAGUUGGAUACCCCAUUUCAUGGAGGAGGUGACUGAGGCCCAGAGAGGAGCAGGCCUCUGCACGAGCUGGGGCACGGCCAGAGCCGAAUAGCUGCAUGGACACUCAAAAGAGGGUCCUGUGGGGCAGAUGAGAUGUGGGUCAUCGGUCUCGGGUGGGGAGCAGCUGCCAGGCCCAUGUUAGAGGGGGAAGUAGCAUGAGGUGGAGAGGGCAGAGAGUCCUGGGUGUGGCAUGGUUUGGGGUGGGCGCCCUAGUGGGUGUAAGUGUGGGAGAUCUGGUGUUCAAGGCCUCCCAGCUGCAAGUUAUUUACUGCAGGUCUCCAGCUCGCCCUGAUCUGGUUCCUGGUCUGUACCUCCUCCCAUCCUGACAGUACCUCCCAACCUUAAGCCAGUGUCAUCAUCAAUCAGCUCUGGCUCCAGCUGACUGACUGCCAGCUGAGGGUGGGAAGGUCACCCCACAAAGGACUUUCAUUCCAUCAGUUUUUGGAGAUAAGAAUGAGGGACAGGUGGGCCCAGUCCCACGUGCUGCACCCCUGACCCCCUGGCUGGGCUCUCCUGGUCUGCCUGAGCUGGCUGGGAGCAGCCUGCCCCCACCCGAGGCUGCUGCAGGGGCCAGCAGAGCAGCUGGGCUUCCAGUGGCUUCCUUUCCUACCUCUUACUCCCAAGACCUUGCCCUCCUGGUGCAACAGUAGCAGGAAGGGUGGGGCAGGAAUGCCUGGGCCAGAGCGCUGGGCCAGAGUUCUGAGGCACCCACCCCAGACUGCCCCAUAGCCAGUUCCCUGGGAAUUGUUGACUCUGCCAGGGGCUUGGAAUACCCUUUGGUGUCCUGGGGGCUGGGUGGGGAGGAAUGAGACCCUCUCCUGUUUGCCCUUUUGGGUCUGCCUGUGUCACCUGCCCAUCACUGGCUGCCUCAUUUAUAUUACCGCCCUACCUGGGUCAGCUAAUGCCAGAGUCUCAGAGUUUCAGAGCCAAGGAGAGGCAGAGCCUGUGGGUCUUGGACUCAAAGACCCUCUAACUCUCAACCCUGAGACAUCUGGUCAGAUUAUCUGGGUAGAUGAUCUUUGCCAGGUGAGGGCACACGCCCCAGGUCUGGUGGGGGAGGCCUGUGUCUGACUGGAGGCUACAGCUUGACUGUGGGGGUGGGUUUGAGCCCAGGCCCCUUGCUGCUCCUUCCUCCAGUCAGGAGGCCCAAUUGCCAGGUGAUCCCUGCUUGCUUGAAGGGUCCCUUGUUCCAGGGCAGGAAGUCCGAAGGUGUAAGCCCACCUGCCCACUCCCACAGCCCCCACCUCUUAAGUAGGAUCCAUCCAGCAAGGUCAGUCGGGUUGGGGUGGGGCAUGGUGGUUCUGGCUCUUGUACAUUGACCUCACCCUCUCACUGCUUAGCAUCUCCUGUACCUGUCACCAAGUCCAUCUCUCCAGUUCUGACUUUGUAUCCCACCAUGCCUUUGCUGUGAGGUCCUCCAUGGCAACUCUGUCAGCCACUUAGGCUGCUCUUAGGCCACCUGCAAAGCCUGGGCCUGUAUGCUGGGUGUCUUUUGUUCUCAUGAUUCCCCCACCUGCAUGCCUGUCCUCCUCUCUGCCUCUUUAUUUGUUGCGCAUUGCUUAUGGCUCCAGCAGGAAACCCCUGCUGUUCUCCCAAACCUUUCCUUGUUUACACAGGUAGGGUAAGCAGGAAGGGUGGGGCAGGAAUGCCUGUAAGAAAAAGGCUCUUGGCUCCUCUGACAGUGUGUCCUUGUUUCCAGAGGUUCAGUGGAGAGGGGGUAGGUCAGAGUGCCACUAGAUUCUAGCCUGAGCCCUUCAGAGCCAUGGCAGGUGUUUGAGAGCACGGGAAUAAGCAGGCCAGAAGUGGGCUGGAGGAGCAUCUGCCUUUUGGGUAAAAAGGAUGCCUCCCUUGGCAGUUCUGUUCUGAGUCUUCUCUCCUACUUUAAGCUCCCCUCUAUUGGGCCCAGGUACAGAGCUGGCCAGGGGUUAGUAGCCAGUCCAAGAACUCCUCUCUGAGGCACCCUGGGCUCAUUGCUCAACUCUGAUGGGGGCUAGACAUGGGCCUUACUUCUGGGCACACAGCCUGAGUCUGUGGGCACUCGCCCUGCGCCCAGUGGUGCUGUCUCACCCUGAUCUGUGCCCCAUUCACAGGCCCUGAGUGUAGCACCCUGGCCAUGUGCAGCCCUGAGGAGGCGACUCUCCUGCGGCUAGAGGAGGUCUUUUUGGCCACCCUUGCCCGCAUCAACAGCCUUGUGCUCCAGCCCCUGCUCAAGGCCGCCCCAGAGCCCUCGGACCCCCAGGGCAGAGAGUGCCUGCGGCUCUUGCAGCAGCUGCACCGGAGCUUCCAGCAGCUCUGGGAGGUGACAGAGGAAAGCCUGCACUCACUGCGGGAGAGGCUGUGCCCCCUGGACUCCACUGGUCUGGAAUCCCUGCUACUGCUGCGCAGCGCUGACCAUGUUGUGCAGGUCCAUGUAGAGUACAUCGAGUCCUACACGAACUGCGUGGUGGUGCAGGCCUUUCAGAAAGCAGCAAAGAGGAGGAGCGAGUACUGGAGGGACCAGCAGAAGGCGCUGCAGCAACUCCUGUCGGGUGUGGGCUCAGAGGGCCGGGUGGGCACAGCACUGGUCCAGUCCCUCUGCCAGCCACUCUCCCAUCACGUGCAACAAUAUGUGCUCCUCCUCCUGAGCCUCAGGGACACCAUCGGGAAGCAUCAUCCCACCUGGGAGCUGGCGGUGCACGCAGCCACACUGUUUGAGAACCUACAGUCCUUCGUGAGGCAGGCGCUGGACCAGGCCUUGGCCACGCAGGCCCUCUGGCACACCCUGAGCAGCCGGCAAAGAGAUGUGCUCUGCACCCCUGCUCGCCGACUCUUGCAAGACAGUCGGGACAUACCUGUGACAGUCACCCCACUGCGGGCAGAGCGUGUGCUGCUCUUUGAUGAUGUCCUGGUCCUGCUGCAGGGCCACAAUGUCUACACCUUUGAUCUGAAGCUGAUGUGGGUAGAUCCUGCACAGGACAGGUGCACGUUUCACCUUCUCACACCCGAGGAAGAGUUCUCCCUUUGCACCAAUGACCCCCAAGGCCAGGUGGUCUGGCAGUGGAAGAUGACCCAGGCUGUGUGCCAGGCCCUGCGUGGGAAGAAGGGCUUCCCAGUGCUGGGGGCGGGCCUGGAGCCCUCCAAACCCCCCGCCUGCCGCUGUGUAGCAUACACCUUCUGUGCUGAGGGCCGGCUCUGCCAGGCCACCUAUGAGGGCGAGUGGUGCUGGGGGAGGCCCCAUGGCAGAGGAACCCUGAAGUGGCCAGAUGGACGGCAUCAUGUGGGGGAGUUCUGUCAGGGCCUGGAACACGGCUUUGGCAUCCACCUGGUGCCACAGGCCUCUGAGGACAAGUUUGACUGUUACAAAUGCCACUGGUGGAAAGGUAGCAUGUGUGGCUAUGGCAUCUGUGAGUACAGCACUGAUGAGGUGUACAAAGGCUACUUCUGGGAGGGCCUGCGGCAUGGAUUUGGGGUCCUUGAGAGUGCCCCACAGGCCCCUCAGCUCUGCAAGUACACAGGUCACUGGGAAAGGGGUCAGAGGAGCGGCUAUGGCAUCGAGGAGGACGGGGACAGAGGUGAGCGCUAUAUUGGCAUGUGGCAGGCCGACCAGCGCCAUGGCACAGGGGUUCUUGUCACCCAGGCGGGCAUCUGCUAUCAGGGCACCUUCCAGGCAGACAAGAUAAUGGGCCCUGGGAUCCUCCUCUCUGAAGACGACUCCUUGUACGAAGGCACCUUUACCAGACACCUGACCCUUGUUGGGAAGGGCAAGGUCACCUUCCCCAAUGGCUUCACCCUGGAGGGCUCUUUUGGCAGUGGGGCAGGCAGAGGACUGCAUACACAGGGCGUGCUGGACACAGCUGCCCUCCCACCAGACCCAAGCAGCACCCGCAGGAGGCAACUGGGUCUGGGUGCCUUUCCCGUGGAGAGCCGCUGGCAGGGCGUCUACGGCCCCUUCCAGGACUUUGUGCGUGCUGGCUGCCCGGGGGACCUUCAGGAGGCCCUGCUGGGCUUCCACGUGCAGAACUCAAGGGAGCUGCGCAGGUCCCAGGAGUACCUGUUCUGUGAGAGGACUCAGCCUGAGGAUGGUGUGGGCAGAAUAGAAGAUAUCCUAGACGACCUGCUACUGAACCGGGAACCCGAAGCCCUGCAGCAGUGCCUCAGGAAGGCUCUGAGCAACGCACUGCACCCCCUUGGAAAGCUGCUCCGGAUGCUGAUGCUCACCUUCCAGGCCACGUAUGCAGGCAUUGGGGCCAACAAGCACCUGCAGGGGCUAGCCCAGGAGGAGGUGAAGCAGCAUGCCCAGGAACUCUGGGCUGCCUACAGGGGUCUGCUGCAAGUUGCCUUACAGCGCAAGGGCCAGGCCCCAGAGAAAGGUGAAGAUGUGGAGACGAGGGACCUGCAGGUGCAUGCAUUGGUGCUGCCCCUCGUGCUGCCCAGCUUCUACUCAGAGCUCUUCACUCUCUACCUACUUCUUCAUGAGAGGGAGGACAGUCUCUACAGCCAGGGCAUCAUCAACCUCAGCCUCUUCCCUGACACCAAGCUACUUGAGUUCCUCGAUGUGCAGAAGCACCUGUGGCCACUCAAAGACCUCAAACUGUCGACCAAUCAGGGCUGUGCUGAAUCAGUGAUGGAGAAGAGAGAUACUCCCUGGUCAGGGAUAAGUGCUUCCUGUCAGCCACUGAGUGUCUGCAGAAGAUCAUCACCACAGUGGACCCCCAGGAGAAGCUGAAGGUGCUGGAGAGGACAUACGGGGAAAUUGAGACCACUGUGUCACGGGUGCUGGGCCAGGAGCACAAGCUGCCCAUGGAUGACCUGCUGCCACUGCUCAUCUACGUGGUGUCACGUGCCCGAAUCCAGCACCUAGGAGCUGAGAUCCACCUGAUCCGUGACAUGAUGAACCCCAUCCACACAGGAGGCCUGUAUGACUUCCUGCUCACAGCCCUGGAGUCCUGUUACGAGCACAUCCAGAAGGAAGACAUGAGGCUGCACCACUUGCCCAUCCGCUGGGAUUCCAGGGAAUACUUGUAGCUCAGCCUUUCUUGGACAAACUGCAGAACUGAGAGGGCGGCCCUGGACUUCGUGGGAGCGAGCAUGGCCCAUGGGCCAGAGAGCAGGAUGGGCCCCCGGAGGCAGCUGUUGGAGGAAAUGGGUGUACAGUCUCUUUCAGGCAGACGCUGCUGCUGUCUGUCAGGUGACAGGCGUACCCCUGACCCAUCACCAGGCCUUCCCAGAUGACCUUGACUUGCAGCAGCUCACAGGCUGGGGGCAAGGAGCCCUGGCUUUUCCUUGCCUGAACCUUGCUCCCAAGUUAUCAAGGCUCUUUGGGCCUCAGUAUUGCAGUCUAUAAAAUAGUGGACAGGAUGGUCUGUCAAGGAUCUCCUCCUCCCCACCAACUGCUGGAUCCUGGAGUCCUUCUGGAAGUCUGACGUGACUCAGCUAGGCUGUAACUGAAAUUCUUCUGUCACAGUUGGUCGUGCUCCCUGUUUCUCCACUCAGUGUCAGAGGCUCCAAGCUGCUACUAACCACUCUGUUUAUAGAGCCGCUUUCCCAUGAGUGGUCUCCUGGAACCUUGCUCCUUGCUGACUCUGCCUCAGGGCCAAGCUGGCCUCUUAAAGUUCAGUCUGAUUUGCUGGGUGGCCUCUGGCAAGGCCGUCCCCUCCUUGGGUAGGCAGUUGAAGGUGUGGGUUUGGAGGGCUCUGAACUGCAGUCCACGUACUGUGAUGUAAACAGUGGUGCUGGAGGGCACAGGGAGGUGCUGGAGCAAGCUGGAGGGCACGGGGAGGUGCCGGAGUAAGCUGGAGGGCACGGGGAGGUGCUGGAGCAAGCUGGGGGACGGGGAGGUGCUGGAGUAAGCUGGAGGGCACGGGGAGGUGCUGGAGCAAGCUGGGGGACGGGGAGGUGCUGGAGUAAGCUGGAGGGCAGUGGGAGGAAGCUUACCUUGCCUUUAUCACUGCCAGCAGUGCCCAAGUCGCUCAUGAGUUACAUAGCUGUGACCUCUGUGGACCUGCACGUGAAAAGGGCAGCAGGAGCAUGAGGCUGGCCUGUGCCCAGAUCAAGAAGCAUCUCUAGCUGAGGAUACUGUGGGGGUUCAGGGGAGGCCACUGGGAGCACAGGUGCCUUUGGGAGGGAAAUACUUUGUUUACAGUGGAGCUAGUGUGGGACCCAAAGAUGCAGGAGUUGGGUCUUGGGGCAGCUUCAUCCCUGCUAGGUCUCAGUUUUUUCCCACAUCGAGGGGCUUGACCCAAGUGAUCAGCAGGGGCUCCCUCUGCUCAACAAGAAAUGUGUGCCAGUACACAGGGUGACUGUUCUGCAGAGGUCCAGCAGUGAGGCAUGGGGAGAGGGUGGAUUUAUGUGGGGGUGUAACCUUGAGAACAAGCCGGGCCCACCCUGCAGGUGUAGCCUGUACGCAAGCCAGGUUGUUCUUGGCUCCCAGGCAUGUCUUCAAUAAAUGAAGCACCGACCCCAGCCUUCAAGGGUAGAGCUGAGGGAAGCUCCAGAAAACAGCCACACAUGAGCCCAAGGCCAAAUCCACACUGGGAGCCUCAAGGUGCAGGGUGGCUGGGAGACACCCACAGCCUCCCAGAGACAUUGUGGGGCUGUGGGGGUGGGGGUGAAGCUUUCUCUGGCUGGUUCCACCAAACGUGGUGGCUUGGAAGGUCUUGUGCUCUGGUUUUUCCAGAACCCCCUGUGGUGUUUCCACGAAGGUCCCUAGAAGGGUGUAGAACUAAUGGAGAGUGAGGACAUCCAGGAUGCCAUGGGCUUUCACGCUGACCCCGGACGUGGCAGCUCAUUAGCACUUUAAUCCUCUCCAGGGGUCACCAGCAAGUUCUUGUCCCUUGACUAGUGAGAACAGCUUUGCCUCAGGGCAGCCCUGAGUUGGUGCAAUGCUAUAUAACCUCACUCCAGAGACCCCUGCAUACCAGCCAGCCUUCUUCAGGGUCCAUGCGUUCUUGGUGCACUGAAGAUUCACCAGGACCCUUCCAGCACCUCCUCACUGGACCUCGCCCAGUGCCAACUGGACUGGAGCCUCUGGACAGGGCCCUGGGAAAUUCCAAGGGCAGCCAAGGCUGUAUCAGACCCUCUCACAACAAAACCCUGGAGCAGGAAAUUGACAACUGCUGUCUGCUUCCUUUACAGAGGAGACACCUGGAGCCAGGUGAUAACCACCUGCUCUGCGGGGUUCCUCAGGGAGGCUGAUGGAAACAGGUCUCCCACUGCGACCCGCAUGGUGAUGUCUCCCAGCUGCUGCAGGAUCCCCUUCAGCUGCAGUGGGAGCACACUGGUGUCCGCUCUGGAAGUCAGGUUCUGGUCAGGGGCUCUAGCACCUUGGCAGUUGGCCAGUGUCAGAAGUGGCCUGGUGGGGCCCAGCUCAGGUGCUCUCCACCUUCCACCUUUCUGGUCCCCAUCUCUUCCCCAGGAUGAGGGUUCUUUUGGCAACGAUCCUGAGGGAGUGAUGAAAUUCUUCAGAAUUAGUCCCAAACAGGACUUCUUGGUUACUCGGGCCAGAGAUGAGAGGCCAAGGGAGACACUGGGUUGACGCCCCACAGGCAGCUUUGACAGACUGCGAAGGCCCACACCAGCCCUGCUCUUGAGGGCCUGGAUGUAGGGCUGACACAGACAGGGACGCCUCUGAGGUUGGAUGGCUGCUCUGUGAGCAUGUGUGUCCCAAGUCAUACAGCCUGACCACCCACUUCCCUCCAACUGCAGUCCUGACCCUGGAGACCCAGGUGGCCUGCCCCUGUCCCCAGCUGCAGCCCUAGUGCCACAUGCUAUCUCAGGAACCUCUCAACCCCUGAUUUCCCCACAGUCAUUUUCCCUUCAGUAGCCAAACCUAUCUGUUACUCCCCUGCUUUCUCAGGCCUGCCUUUCAUUGUUCCGUCCCCCAGAAAUGCCCUCCAAUCCCAUGAGGUCCCAGGCUGCUCUGUCCUUGAAGGCCCAGCUUACAACAAACCCCUGGAACCUAAGGAAGGAAGCUUCUUCCUCCCCAACCCUUCUCCAUGGGCCCCACCCUGGCCUCAUCAUGUUAGUGGUGCGUGAUGGGUGGGUGCCUGCUCCCCCUCCAUUCUCCAGACACACAGCUCACUGCCACUCCUUGGGCUGGCAUCAGUAGCAGUGGGAGAUAGGGUGGAAACAGGAAAGGUCAGACUGAAGGGCCUGGAGUCCAGGGCAAAUCUGCAUCCAUGCCCAGUCAGGGCAGUACCUACCAACAGAAGCACUCAGGCAUGACCAGGACAGGCAGGGACCCACAGGGAAAUGGAGGUGAGGCCAAACUCGGGUGGGGAGUAGACAGGAAGCUGAUGUCAAAGCCUCAGGAGAAAGGAAAGACAAAAAGAUGUGCUCCCAGGGCUCAGGUGACCUUACCUGGGCACCAGGGGCUCAGGCCUGGCCCUCCUGGCCUAGUAUCCCACCCGCACCUAGCAGUAAUGCCAGUCUGUAAGAGUGUUGAGCCCCCACUUCAGGAGAUGCCAUAUUAUGGCCAGGUUAAUGCUGUUGACCAGUUGUGGGUGAUGGAUGUGUCGUCCUGAAGGGGACGGGCACAGGGUGGUUCCAUGAAGUCCCUGCAUGGACUGACUUCCUCCCGCAGUCAGCAAGCCUCACCAGGGGCCUCCUGGAUGACAGCUAUGUUCCGAGUGGGAUAUGGUGUCGAACACAGCAAACAAGGUGAGAAUGGCUGGCUCUCCUUUCAGGAAGGCACCAGCAGACUGCUUGCUGGGCAUGUGGGACAAGGAAGCUGCAGAAACCGAGUCCGUAACUAAUGCAAACUGGGAGCUAGUUGACAUCUAGAAGACCCAAAUUCUGACCAAGCCUCUGCAUAUUCAAAUCAUUCCUGAGGGUGCUCGGAGGCAGUGAAGGCUGGAGGGAGUGGGAGCAAGGGCCAGUCAGCAGUGACUUGUCGCUGCUGGAGGGGACUUAGCAGUGCACAGAGUGAAUAAAGUAAAGGUUCUCCAGGCAGGGGCUGUGUGGCCUCGGCCCUCAGCUCUCCCAGAGGGAUGGCUGCCUACUGUGGGAUAGGCAAGGGGCAGGACUGCCCUUGGCACUGGGGAAAGGAUUCAUUUAGAGUUACAGUCAGGCCUGACAAUUCCACUGCUGCCCAUUGCCAAAGGGUCCUUUUACAUGGGCAUCCAUCUGGGUCUCAGUGGAGGGCAGAGGUCCUGUGCAAUUUGCUGCUGUAAUGCUUGUCCCUCAGAGGUUGGGACUUCAUUAUUCAGCUGUUUCAUUGUCAGGUACCAGGCCACACUGUCAGCCCAUUGACUACCAACUACAAGUUGGUAAAAAUGUAACAAGGUACCUUCUUGGGGGCCUGGGGAGUGUUUUCCAGGACAAGCACCAUAAUAUGCAACUCUGCCCAGGUGGUAGAGUAUCCUCUUACAUAGCUUUAAGCAGCUUCCUGUGGCUGCCCAGCCAGCAGGCCCUUGAUCUUGGCUGGUCUGUGAGUCAGGCCCAGCAUCCUCAGGCAUCUUGGUGUACUGAAGCUCACAAGGAGCCAGAGAUGCUGGCAUAGCCCCCACAUCUAGGAUGGUUUUGCCCAGGGGGUGACUGGCAACCUUACAUACAGUGGGAGAUUCAAUGGGUGGUUUACUCCUUUCUCCAGAUCUGUUAUUUUCAUUGAAUGAUGGCUGCUUGUUAGGCAGUGUCCACUUUAUGCCAUAGUGGGGGUGCUGGAGAGGAACACCGCAUUGGAGGUUGGUGUCUAAUUGUCCACAGGUGCUGAGUCCUGAGCCAGUAAUUGGCACUCAAGAUGCCUUAUACUGAGAUGUGUCUGUCAGGAAUUGCUGUAUUCAGAAUGCCAAGGACUUCAUCUGUAGAGUGAAUCAGUUCAUCAGAGGAUAGAAUUCUGCCUGGUGUUGAAUUUUGACCCAACUGCUGGUUGCUCAUGCAGGGUGGUUUGUGCCUCUGCACUUUUAUGUGUGGUGGCGCCCUGAACAGUGACCUUUCCCUGAUGCCUCAUGAGCCUUAAUGGGGACAUGUGUAACACAUCUACUCCAGUUCUGUGUUUCUACAGCAGGACAUUGAAUGGGCCAGAAGGCUCAUAAGAUCAUGGUAAACUCACU